rfam:Glycine max cultivar Williams 82 chromosome 10, whole genome shotgun sequence.
AUACCUUUCUCGGCCUUUUGGCUAAGAUCAAGUGUAGUAUCUGUUCUUAUCAGUUUAAUAUCUGAUAUGUGGGCCAUUGGUCCACACGAUAUUAAAUUACUUUUUUGGUGGGGAGAGUCCAACACAGUAGCUUGCUACUGGGCCUCUCAAGUGUCGCCCAAGCGUUGCACUAUAGCAUGGGCCUGGCACACCCUAU